GUCAAGUCCUCAUGGCCUUUAUGCCCAGGGCUACACACGUGCUACAAUGGGUGGUACAAAGAGAGGCAAGCUCGCGAGAGUAAGCAAAUCUCAAAAGCCAUCCUCAGUUCGGAUUGGAGUCUGCAACUCGACCCCAUGAAGUCGGAAUCGCUAGUAAUCGCGGAUCAGCAUGCCGCGGUCGAAUACGGUUCCCGGGCCUU
rnacentral:rRNA from 1 species